rnacentral:rRNA from 1 species
UGCAGUCGAACGAGAAACUUACUUCGGUAAGUGGAAAGUGGCGCACGGGUGAGUAACGCGUGGCUAACCUGCCCUUGGAACUGGGACAACCCUUCGAAAGGAGGGCUAAUACCGGAUAAUACCAAGAGCCUCAGGGCUCCUGGUUGAAAGCUCCGGCGUCCAAGGAGGGGGCCGCGUCCCAUCAGCUAGAUGGUGAGGUAACAGCUCACCAUGGCAACGACGGGUAGCGGGUCUGAGAGGAUGAUCCGCCACACUGGCACUGAGACACGGGCCAGACUCCUACGGGAGGCAGCAGUGGGGAAUCUUGCGCAAUGGGGGAAACCCUGACGCAGCAAUGCCGCGUAGGCGAAGAAGGACUUCGGUUCGUAAAGCCCUUUUAUCGGGGAAGAUAGUGACGGUACCCGAAGAAUAAGCACCGGCUAACUACGUGCCAGCAGCCGCGGUAAUACGUAGGGUGCAAGCGUUGUCCGGAAUCACUGGGCGUAAAGGGCGCGCAGGCGGAUCGGCAAGCGAGGGGUGAAAUCCCGGGGCUC